CACUGGCCCCCAAUCCCAGCAGCACCAGGAGGAGAGGAAAUGGUCCCAGAAGAUCCAGCAUCAUCUCUUCUCUGGUGUCCUUGCUGGGGGUCCUGCUGAGGACAGAGGCAGUGGUUAGUCCCAGGCUCAGAGGCUUUUGUCUGCUGUUCCUCUGCCAGGUAUGUCAGCGUGGCCUGCGUGCAGCAGGGAAGGGUUCUGAGCCCUAGGAAAGAGGGAAGGGAAACCUAGGGCUUGGAAGAUACCCUUCUUGUGCACAGUGUGGAUGAGAC